GCGGUGUUAGCUCAGUUGGUAGAGCUUGGAUUGUGAUUCCAAGGGUCACCGGUUCAGCCCGGUACAUCGCCCCA
rnacentral:tRNA from 1 species